AGAGUAAGAUGCCGUCUUUUCCAUGCUUGCAGGGAGCGGAAGGCCGCAGAAAUGAAAGUGAAACCAGAAGGACAGAGAACUAAAGUGUGGAUUUUCUGGUGCCUCCUAAGGUCAGGCCCUCGACGGAAGCUUUUCUCACAACUUGAACAUCUAUAUGGUUUGACUCCUGUGUGGAUUCCUCGAUGGGAAGCAAGAACCCGGAGAGAGUGGAACCAGGAAGAUGGCCUCAUCCCCUUCCUCCACCCAGGAGUUCCGAUCCGGAUGGGUGAGGGAAAGAACUGGUGCAAAAGUGAAAGCAGAGAGAAGAAAACGUGUUGUUAAUUCAAGCAGGGUGGGUUUUUUUGUUUUGUUUUUGUGAACCAUCCUAUAUAACUUCACAGCCAGAAACCUUCCGUGGCAGGGAAUGUUUUGAUCCAGGAAGACUUCCAUACACAGAUUGAGUCUUCUGGGAGUAGCCCCACAUGCCCAAAUGUGUGCUAGGAGGAAAGGGGGGGGAAAUAUAUCUAAGAUGGGAUGGGGCUUGCAACACAGAGCAAAUAUUGCCCACGCAGAGUGAGGGCAGGAAGCACUGUUCUAAAUCUGAUUUGGCUUCAUGACACUAUCACUUAGCCAAAUCGGAGAGAUUCCUCUAUUCAUUUCAGAAUUUUCUAGAAGGUCAAUAUGAUUUGAAAACUGGAUGUCUGCUAACAGACACAUUUUUCCCUACAGGGUAGCUUAUAUGCACUAGCACUUACAAACUGCUUUUCUGACUCAAAAAUCCCAAGGGGAUUUUUUUUUUUUAAGUAAAUGAUUUGGGGAACUUUUAGAAUCUUAAGAUUGUAUCCAAGUGGAAUGUUGCUUGUGCAACAGGACCUCCCUUUCCUCUCCCCAUGCACCCCUAAAAUCUGUACGGGGGUCUUUCAAUCCUCUGAAGCACAUUUUGAGGGUACACAGGGAGCUGCAGGGAGAGGAGGGGGAAGUUCCAUUGUGCAAGCAGACAUCAGUUGUGAGAGAGGAAUGGCAGGGCUGGAUACAACCCUAAUUUUUGA